AGAGUUUGAUCCUGGCUCAGGAUGAACGCUAGCGGCAGGCCUAACACAUGCAAGUCGAGGGGUAACAUAGGAAAGCUUGCUUUUCUGAUGACGACCGGCGCACGGGUGCGUAACGCGUAUACAACCUACCUUUUAGCGGUGAAUAGCCCAGGGAAACUUGGAUUAAUGCCCCAUAGUAUAUAGACUUCUCCUGAAGUUUAUAUUAAACAUUUAUGGCUAUUAGAUGGGUAUGCGUCCUAUUAGUUAGUUGGUAAGGUAACGGCUUACCAAGGCAGCGAUAGGUAGGGGUCCUGAGAGGGAGAUCCCCCACACUGGUACUGAGACACGGACCAGACUCCUACGGGAGGCAGCAGUGAGGAAUAUUGGACAAUGGGCGAGAGCCUGAUCCAGCCAUGCCGCGUGCAGGAAGACUGCCCUAUGGGUUGUAAACUGCUUUUACAGAGGAAGAACCACCCCCACGUGUGGGGGUUUGACGGUACUCUGCGAAUAAGGAUCGGCUAACUCCGUGCCAGCAGCCGCGGUAAUACGGAGGAUCCAAGCGUUAUCCGGAAUCAUUGGGUUUAAAGGGUCCGUA
rnacentral:rRNA from 1 species